rnacentral:rRNA from 1 species
CUAAUACAUGCAAGUCGAGCGCGGGAAGCAGACAGAAGCCUUCGGGCGGACGUCUGUGGAACGAGCGGCGGAUGGGUGAGUAACACGUGGGUAACCUGCCUGUAAGCCUGGGAUAACUCGCGGAAACGCGAGCUAAUACCGGAUGACACGAAAGUUCGCAUGAACUUUUGUUGAAAGGCGGCUUUUAGCUGUCACUUACAGAUGGGCCCGCGGCGCAUUAGCUAGUUGGUGAGGUAACGGCUUACCAAGGCGACGAUGCGUAGCCGACCUGAGAGGGUGAUCGGCCACACUGGGACUGAGACACGGCCCAGACUCCUACGGGAGGCAGCAGUAGGGAAUCUUCCGCAAUGGACGAAAGUCUGACGGAGCAACGCCGCGUGAGUGAUGAAGGUCUUCGGAUCGUAAAACUCUGUUGUUAGGGAAGAACAAGUAUAAGGCGAAUAACCUUAUACCUUGACGGUACCUAACCAGAAAGCCCCGGCUAACUACGUGCCAGCAGCCGCGGUAAUACGUAGGGGGCGAGCGUUGUCCGGAAUUAUUGGGCGUAAAGGGUGCGUAGGCGGUCUCUUAAGUCUGAUGUGAAAGCCCACGGCUUAACCGUGGAGGGUCAUUGGAAACUGGGAGACUUGAGUGCAGAAGAGGAGAGUGGAAUUCCAUGUGUAGCGGUGAAAUGCGUAGAGAUAUGGAGGAACACCAGUGGCGAAGGCGA